rnacentral:rRNA from 1 species
UACGUAGGGGGCAAGCGUUGUCCGGAUUUAUUGGGCGUAAAGAGCGUGUAGGCGGCCAAGCAGGUCCGCUGUGAAAACUCGAGGCUCAACCUCGAGACGUCGGUGGAAACCGUUUGGCUAGAGUCCGGAAGAGGAGAGUGGAAUUCCCGGUGUAGCGGUGAAAUGCGCAGAUAUCGGGAAGAACACCCGUGGCGAAGGCGGCUCUCUGGGCAUUACCUGACGCUGAGGAGCGAAAGCGUGGGGAGCGAACAGG